rnacentral:rRNA from 1 species
CCUACGGGGGGCUGCAGUCGAGAAUCUUCGGCAAUGAGCGCAAGCUUGACCGAGCGACGCCGCGUGCGGGAUGAAGGCCUUCGGGUUGUAAACCGCUGUCGUAGGGGAGCAAGAAAUGAGGGUUCUCCCUCAAAUUUGAGCGAUCCUAGGAGGAAGGACGGGCUAAGUUCGUGCCAGCAGCCGCGGUAAGACGAACCGUCCAAACGUUAUUCGGUAUCACUGGGCUUAAAGAGUUCGGAAGCGGCGGUGUGAAAUCCCUCGGCUUAACCGAGGAAGUGCGCUUCAAACCGUGGAGCUAGAGGUAGACAGGGGUAAGCGGAACAGAUGGUGGAGCGGUGAAAUGCGUUGAUAUCAUCUGGAACACCGGUGGCGAAAGCGGCUUACUGGGUCUUUACUGACGCUGAGGAACGAAAGCUAGGGUAGCGAACGGGAUUAGAUACCCGAGUAGUC